CCUACGGGUGGCUGCAGUAGGGAAUCUUCCACAAUGGACGAAAGUCUGAUGGAGCAACGCCGCGUGAGUGAAGAAGGGUUUCGGCUCGUAAAGCUCUGUUGGUAGUGAAGAAAGAUAGAGGUAGUAACUGGCCUUUAUUUGACGGUAAUUACUUAGAAAGUCACGGCUAACUACGUGCCAGCAGCCGCGGUAAUACGUAGGUGGCAAGCGUUGUCCGGAUUUAUUGGGCGUAAAGCGAGUGCAGGCGGUUCAAUAAGUCUGAUGUGAAAGCCUUCGGCUCAACCGGAGAAUUGCAUCAGAAACUGUUGAACUUGAGUGCAGAAGAGGAGAGUGGAACUCCAUGUGUAGCGGUGGAAUGCGUAGAUAUUAGGAGGAACACCGGUGGCGAAGGCGGCCUGCUGGACUGUGACUGACGUUGAGGCCCGAAGGCGUGGGGAGCAAACAGGAUUAGAUACCCGAGUAGUC
rnacentral:rRNA from 1 species